CUCUCUGAAUCUGCGAACGGCUCCGCAAACCAGUUGUAAACUAUGGCAGGGUUCCGUCCCGCGACUUCACUUGUGGGGUUGCGGGUUAAUAUAUGGAUAACCGUGGUAAUUCUGAGGCUAAUACAUGACGUACAAAACCUCGCUCUGGGCUUGCCCGGGGCGGGGGGGCGUGCGACUUAAGGCUGGGGUAACAUCCAUGACAGAACGCACGCUCGGACCACCGCUAAGGGUGAGGGGCUUCGGCUCGGAUCCUGGUGGCCCCCGCAAUGUGCUUCUGACCUAUCAACUAGACGGCAGCAUAAGGGACAUGCUAUGGUGACAACGGGUACAGAGGAUUAGGGUUCGAUCCUGGAGAGUGGGCCUGAGAGAUU
rnacentral:rRNA from 1 species